rnacentral:rRNA from 1 species
UGCCUAACACAUGCAAGUCGAACGGAGUGCCUUUCGGGCACUUAGUGGCGGACGGUGAGUAACGCGUGAGAAUCUGCCUUUCGGGUCGGGGAUAACGACUGGAAACGGUCGCUAUACCGGAUGUGCCGAGAGGUGAAAGGUUAAACUGCCUGGGGACGAGCCCGCGUCGGAUUGCUAGUUGGUGGGGUAAGGGCCUACCAAGGCGACGAUCCGUAGCUGGUUUGAGAGGAUGCCAGCCACACUGGGACUGAGACACGGCCCAGACUCCUACGGGAGGCAGCAGUGGGGAAUUUCCGCAAUGGGGGCAACCCUGACGGAGCAACGCCGCGUGCGGGAGGAAGGCCUGUGGGUGUAAACCGCUUUUCUCAAGGAAGAAGAUAGUGACGGUACUUGAGGAAUCAGCAUCGGCAACUCCGUGCCAGCAGCCGCGGUAAGACGGAGGAUGCAAGCGUUAUCCGGAAUUAUUGGCGUAAAGCGUCCGCAGGUGGUUAUACAAGUCUGUCGUCAAAGCGUGGGGCUUAACUCCAAAGGGCGGUGGAAACUGUAUGACUAGAGUGAGGUAGGGGUAGAGGGAAUUCCCGGUGUACGGUGAAAUGCGUAGAUAUCGGGAAGAACACCAGUGGCGAAAGCGCUCUACUGGGCCUUACUGACACUGAGGGACGAAAGCUAGGGGAGCGAAAGGGAUUAGAUACCCCUGUAGUCCUGCCGUAAACGAUGGAGACUAGGUGUGGUUCGUAUCGACCCGGGCCGUGCCGAAGCUAACCGUUAAGUCCCCCGCCUGGGGAGUACGCUCGCAAGAGUGAAACUCAAAUGAAUUGACGGG